rnacentral:rRNA from 1 species
UACGUAGGUGGCGAGCGUUGUCCGGAUUUACUGGGCGUAAAGGGCGCGCAGGCGGUCGGCCAAGUCGAGUGUGAAAGCCCCCGGCUCAACUGGGGAGGGUCACUUGAUACUGGUCGACUCGAAGGCGGGAGAGGGAAGUGGAAUUCCCGGUGUAGUGGUGAAAUGCGUAGAUAUCGGGAGGGACACCAGUGGCGAAGGCGACUUCCUGGCCCGUUCUUGACGCUGAGGCGCGAAAGCUAGGGGAGCAAACGGG